AACAAGAUCCCAAAGGUCUUCCAUUUAUUCCAGCACACCUAGGAUUUCUUUUUUGAGUGCGGCCUGUGUGUGUGUAUACGAGAGAAACAGGCAGAGCAUCAAGGGUUCGUGUGUUGCAGAGGCCGGGAGGCUGGGAGGGGGGCUUCCCAUCCCCCUGGGGCCCCUCCUCUCUCGUCAGUGUAGCCAAAGGACACAUUGACUGUGGGGUCCUCCCGUUUCCCCAGGCUAAUUACAUGCCUCUUUAUGAAAGGAAAUAGUUUCCCGGCCGAGCUGGGAAACCCAAGUCCCCGGUGCCCCCUCGUCGCGGGUAUCAUGGGAAGGACAAGAAAGGAGGCAGCUGCUCACACUUUCCUCUGCCUUCCCCGGCCUCGCCCGGGGCGCCCAACCCGGCCUGGAGACGCGGAGCGCCUCCUCCUCCACGCAGACGCCUCGGAAUCCACCUCUGGGCCGCGCUGAGAGACGCGGAUGCUGGGAGGAAACCCUGGCGAAGGAUGCGAGGAGACAGAUGGACGCAGAGAGAAGAGAUCCCACGAUCCACAGUCGCUUCGAGACCCACAGCGAGAGGGAGGAAGCCGCUGAGCGGGGAGGGAGCCGGCCGUGGAGCCCAGGGGAGGCUGACCCUGACCCUGAGCUCGGGGCUGCCUACCCGAACUUCAACGCCUGUCUUCCAAUUCUUUGUUUUAAAAAAAAUGCCACAACUGGGGAGGCUGGGACUGGGGAAACCAUGCAGAGGAGUGAGGGGUAAGCUACAUUUGUGGUCUUUUGAUGACGAUUCAGCAACCUCUUUCCUGAGGAAAAUCUGCCCACUUGUUUAUUAUCCCUCAGUCAGUCCAGAAGCUCAGUGGUGUCCGAUGCUUUGUGAUCGCAUGGACUGCAGCACACCAGGCCUCCCUGUCCAUCACCAACUCCCAAAGUUUUACUCAGACUCAUGUCCAUCAAGUCAGUGAUGCCAUCCAACCAUUUCAUCCUCUGUCGUCCCCAUCUCCUCCAAGGAAGUCCCUCAAUUAUUAUACUUCAACUGCAGUCAACGCAGAGCUGGAUAAAGAAGCAGAGGACUGGAGACUGUGAACCCCUUGAAGGCAGAUCUCUCUCUCUCCUAUUUGAAAUCUUUAUUGAGAUAAUUGCAAAUUCACACACAAAAAGCUACUAACAAUAAUACAAAGACAUUCCUUGUACACUUUUCCCAUUUUUUCCCAAAGGUAACAUUUGCAAAGCUAUAGUACAGUAU
ensembl:lncRNA